rnacentral:rRNA from 1 species
UUUUACAAUGGAGAGUUUGAUCCUGGCUCAGGAUGAACGCUAGCGGCAGGCCUAAUACAUG